rnacentral:rRNA from 1 species
ACCUUUUGGAGGGGGAUAACAUUGGGAAACUGAUGCUAAUACCCCGUAAUACUGAGGAGUUAAAAGCGGGUAUCCUGUGAGGGAGCCACGCGCCAAGAGAGGGGCUUGCGGCUGAUUAGCUAGUUGGUGGGGGGUAAUGGCCUCCCAAGGCCACGAUCAGUAGCUGGUCUGAGAGGACGAUCAGCCACACUGGGACUGAGACACGGCCCAG